CGGCAAGCAAACAAACAAAACACUGAGUCAUGAGAACAACCAAAAUGAUGCUCGAUAGAAAUGUCAUCAUACAAAGCAGAGGAAGGUCGAAUGUUGAUGAGAUAGGUGCAAGUAGGAACAACCUCAACCCAAAAGUGAGGCGGAAGAGCCACGAUGAUCAUUAAUUCACGAGCCGCCUCAAGAAAGUGAUGAUGCUUGUGCUCAUCAACACCAUUCUAAGCAUGAGCACUAGGAGAGUAAGUGUGUCCUGCUCAGCAAGGAAUCCACGCAACAAAUGAGAGGUAUAGUCAUGAGCAAAAUCUACAUGGAAGACAUAGAUAGGAGUGGAAAACUGGGUCAAGCAUGGUGGCAUGGCAUGGAAGACAAUCAUGGGUAGUCAUGGCGGCAAACUUCUUACAGACGAAUCAUCUAUAAAGAUAUUAUAGUAAAGAAUGGCCUCUUUUCGAGGCAAAUGGAAUUGGAUCCCAAACAUCAGAGUGAACAAGAUCGAAAGGGCAUUGAGAAACCGUCUUGCUAUGAGGAUGCAAAUGCAAUUACAGAACUGUUUACCAAGCAAACAACUUGACAGUCUAAAGAUCCAACGCCGGAGACAUAUCCACGUCAAACUAAGGACGAGGGACGAGAGGCAGAAGUGACCAAGACAAUGAUGCGAUAGAGAGCUGGUAGUCGAGGUAACAGAGGCGAAGAGAUUGGCACCAAGUAGAGCACCCGUGUGACGGUCCUAAUCUACAACCAGUCAACAAUCUAACCACCUAAAAUGAGCUACAUGGUAAGUCAAAGAAGGUGAGCAAAAGAAGGAACAUGACAAGACAAGGUGAUAAGAGUGCCUCAACUAUCGAAUGGGAGGGAAGUACCAUCAACAGUAAUAACAUGAACAUGAGAAGCUAGAGGUUUGAAUGGAGGACAAACCGGAAGAAUCAUGAGUUAUAUGAAAAUACCUGUAAGAGUGCCUCAACUAUCGAAUGGGAGGGAAGUACCAUCAACAGUAAGAACAUGAACGUGAGAAGCUAGAGGUUUGAAUGGAGGACAAACCGGAAGAAUCAUGAGUUAUAUGAAAAUACCUGUAAGUGGGACACCAAGGAUGAGGGACGAGAGACAGAAGUGACCAAGACAAUGAUGCGAUAGAGAGCUAGUAGUCUGAGGUAACAAAGGCGAAGAGAUUGGCACCAUGUAGAGCACCCGUGUGAGGGUCCUAAUCUACAACCAGUCAACAAUCUAACCACCUAAAAUGAGUUACAUGGUAAGUCAAGGAAGGUGAGCAAAAGAAGGAACAUGACAAGACAAAGUGAUAGGAGUGUCUCAACUAUCGAAUGGGAGGGAAGUACCAUCAACAGUAAGAACAUGAACAGGAGAAGCUAGAGGUUUGAAUAGAGAACAAAGUGGAAGAAUCAUGAGUUAUAUGAAAACACGCUCCAAUCAAAGGAUCCAUGGAAAUAUACUCGACUAUACAAAAGCACCGGGCGAUGAAUAAGCAAUAAGUAGGUGUCGAAGUUGUCCAAGCUCCUGCGCGGUGAAGGAUAUCGCUGAAGUGGUCGACGUAGAAUCACCAAAAGAGGAGUGGCCGUCACCACCACCUAUGUGAGCCCCAAGAGGAGGCGGUGUAGCACGACAAAUACCAAUGGUAGAAGUCAAGUCGAUGGAGGAGACAGCGUCGUAGGCACACAAACACCAACCACGUGGGAGUGAUGUGCACCAACACUAUCGAUGAAAGCCAUGAGGGGAGUCUGUGUAGAGCGACCAUCACCAUCUAUAAAGGUCGCGAGAGGUGUCACUAUGGAGCCACCACCACUGCCUGUAAAAAGAAUUGGGGGGGGGGAGCAACCUCAUAGGCGGAGGAACACUGUAUGAGGUGGGGUCAGUGUAGGUAACACCCUAAGAAAUCACCGAACAACAAGGAAGAUACUAUGUCUAAUGAAGUCAUUGUACCUGUUUCUUUGUUCUACUCUUUUCUUUUACAGAACAGUCUUAGAGAGCAGUAGAACAUGGAAGAGCAGUGUAUAGGGCACGCAUAGUGCCCUAGAGAAGCCAGUUGGUGGAACGGGUUGCCGGGGCUAAGGUUCCGCGGUGAAGUCUGGCGUUGAGGUCCUGUGUGUAGCAAAAGAAGCGGAGACCGUGACCUGCAACAGCAGACGUCUCAAAUAUUGCGCCUCCUGGAGCUGCGGGGCGUUGGCCUCCUAGAGAUGGCGGUGAGGUGCUGACCUUCUGUACAUGGUGAUGAGGCGCGACCUCCUGAAACUGCAGGUGACGACGGCCUAGGGUCUACAACAUUAGUAUGGGAAGACAUGGUGGGAUGGGUGGUGGAAGACAAUACAUGGGUGAUUGGUGUUAUUGGGAAAAUUAAGGAAAGAAAUUUAACUCCUACAGUAUGAGAGGGUCACUAGGUAGCCUCGUUGCUCCCGUGGAAUUAUUCAUUGAAGUCAGCCCGCGGCCGCUAUAGCUAGAAAAAAAAUCGGGAUGAAGGAGCCCCUCCCUGGCCAUGAGCCCCACGGCUGACUCCACUCCUCUUUGCCUUGUUGCCCCCCCCCCCCCAGUCUCUCUCUUUCCUUGCAAUUUCUGGAAUUGGGAGCGGAAGAAGGGGCGAGCGUUCCGGAGGUGGCAGGCGGCAAUAGAAGUUCAUCUGACCUUCGUUCCUGCAGCAUGGUUCGAAUCAAUUAAAGACCUGAGAUUCAGUGGUAGAAGCUGCAGACAACCAUCGCCGGCGAGGCACAAGAGGUUUCCACGGUCAGAUCUACAUUGAGGCGAGGCCAUGUCAAAGAAAACACCACUAGUUAUGUGUUUGCAGCCACCUCUGCUACAUUUUGUUGUAUCAUAUUUGAAGUUCAGUUUCAUGCUGGUCGCAAUUUCUUACGGAUUGGUGUAUUUUGUUGUAGGUAGUAAGAUCAUAAGAUACUAAUGGGCUCCCUGUAAUCCCAAAGGCACUGGCUAGUGGAUAGAUAUUUUUUACAAAAUCUUCUAGAGGCGCUUAAUUUUCUAUAUCGAAAACGACUGCUGGUAAAGUGCAAAUAUGAUAUUUUUGCUUAUUGGAUACAUUAUUUUCCAAGUUCUUUCAGAGAUCUAAUAAUUAGGUUCCAAGCACUAACAACCCAACAAAGGCUGCUUUAAACUUUAAUAUAUAUUUACAGAGUUUGUCUGCUUGCUUCAAAAUUUAAAUGAGACUUUUGCUUGCUGAUAAAAUCUUUCAAUUGGUAAUAUGUUUCCCUUCAUUGCAUGCUUAUUGUUCUUUCACAAAAGAAUGUUUUACAUUUUUGAAGAUUACUAAGUUAAUAAGAUGGUGGUAACUGUUGGUAAAAUUAGGGAGUCGUUCCCUCUUUUCAUCUUCUCAGUAUUUCUGCUACUGUUGACCUUCUUUAUUCACAUGUUUAUUUAGUUUGUACCUUUGAACAUGUGCAGGUUCCAUCCAACCUGUAUGGGAAUGAUCAUUGAGUGGGCCAAAAAGUUAGACAAUUUCCUGUGCUCAGAUUGUGCUAAAGAAAACGACACAAAGAGACCUACAAAUUCAUACCAGAGUUCACCAAGUUAUCAUUCUAAGGCCAGUGAUUAAUUUCCCUUUUCUUGACUGUACAGUUUAUUAAUAUUCUGCUUGCGGAUAGCUAUAUGCCUUUAUCUUAUCUUUUUAAAUUUAGUUUCAAGAAUUUCAUUUCCAAAGCUGGUGGUUAUUGUCUUUGUUUAUUCAAUAUUCCUGGGAAAAAUGUUUGGUGUUUAACUAAACAAGUACUCAUGUGUAGUUAAAAUUUGCUGUCAUGAGUUCCUUCAGUCUAUGCUGGGUACAGCGCCUUUUAAAGAAGAUUAUUAUAUUGUUUGUGCAGAACAUUAGUUAGUCAUUGCCAAGCAAUCUUACAUAUGUUGGCAAUAUUAAAUAGGUUGUUAUGGUCAUGUUCUUUGGUUGGAAACCCAAAUUUGGACCUUACGAUAUUAUCUUGGAAUAACAGAAGCCCUGACAAGAGUAAUUUAUAGAGUGUGGGGACAAUUUGUGAUCUGCUGGAUACCAAUAAUCAGUAAUAGGAUCUUCUUUGUAGAUCAUCAUCCCUGUUAAUGCAUGAUAUUGUCAUCCAUCAGCAUGUUCUCAGUUCAUGUAUUUCACAGUGAAGAUGAGCUUAAUAUAAUAUAUAGCUUAUUCAGCACAUACUGUGUAUAGUGCAUGAGAAGAUUUUGUGGCACAAGGCAUACAUGCCAUUUGAGAUGUGAUGCUCCUGUACUUAGAAGCACGCGGCUUGUCCUGAGAUGUGAAUCUCCUGUCCUUAGAAGCAUGGGGCUUAUCCUGGUUUUCUGUAUGCUCUUUGUUCUCCACAGAUUGUACUUAAACAAACUUGAUUAAAUCGAGAAAAUAAGCUAUCUUCGGAAGUCUCCUGAUCUACAUAGGAUAUCUGGUAUAUACUUCAAUUGCCCGUGUGAUUAUAUUUAUCAAUGUUAGAAAUAUUUUUCAUCCAUCAAAGGGAGAUUUUCGGAUGCAGACUAAAUUGUUUGUCAGAGAUUAUACUUAGAUAGACUGAUUAAAUUGAGCAAAAUAAGUUACCAUUGCAAAUCUCCUGAUCCACAUGCUAUUUGCCAAUGGUCGUCGCGCUUCAGUACUAGUUAGUGCAGUAGCAAGGUAGGAGUUGCUUAUAUGUGCGAAAUAUUCAAUUCAUAAUAUCUCAUAUCAAUAGACAGAGAUGCAUCAAUUCUUUUUCAUUAUUGAUUUUCAUAUCUGUCAUGUGCAGAGUGCCCAUCGAUUAGUUAUGUAGGUCGUGAGUGCGGUUGUAAAUUAUGCACUACUCUUGGUGGUUACUAGCCUUCAUCUCUACAAAAACAUCUAGUGAGGAGUCAUCUGUCUACAAAAAACAUGCAAUGAGGUUACUUGCUUCCCGUCAGAGAUUGAGGUUCCUAUGAGGUUACCAUCGGGAGAGUCAGGUUAUCCAUCACAUGUUUGUUCCAAUGUCUCGGGGAACGAGAUGUAAGAUUAUUUUACUUAUUAAUUAUUUGUUUCCUUGGAAGUUACUCAUUUAUGUUAUUGUCAUAUUUGUUUUGUGAGCUACUUUUGUAGGGGAACGAGAUGUGGUCAAACUACUCAGAAAUGUUUUGUACCCUUUAGCGCAUUUAUUUGCUAACUCCGGGUUGUUGCACAUGAUACAGUAGUGAAUUAGAUACAUUUUUUGUGCUUUUAGAAUGAUAGAAUUGAUGAAUUUUGGGCCCACCAUUUGGUACAACAGUAUAUUUUCUUCCUUGCAAAUACUGUGUGUUGCCGCUU